UACUUUUCGCAUUUUGACUAAGGUCAAAAUUCCUAAUCUUCAGACAACUUCGUAGACUCCGAAAACUCAUUUGCUUCAUUUUUCUUCUUCGUUUCAUUUUCUUCUCUUUCAUUCAUUCUAUCUUCUCCAUUUCUUUGUUGAAGUGUUUGUUUCUCCAAUAUCCCCCCUAAAGUUGGAGGGGAGCGAAAUGACGCCCAAAUUGCCUAAAGCAAAUCUGUACGACACUCCUGGGAGUGGUUUGGUAAAGAAAUCAGCAAGUUGAGCAGCCAAAGGGAUAAAAGUAUGUGAGAUGAGGCUAGAAAGGAAUUGUUGCUUUACAAAAUGGCAAUCCAAUUCCACAUGAUUAGUACGUUCGUGGAAGACUGGAUUCUCAGCGAUAUGAAUUGCUGCCUGAGUAUCGGAGUGAACAGGGACAGGUAGUGGCGAUGGGACAGAGAGAUCAGUGAGAAAGUGAGUCAAGCAAAAAACCGGUGAACCUUCUCAACUGAUGAAGAAACCACGAACGGAAGGACGAGAGUCGGGGCAAGAAGCCCAGUCAGAAUCAUAAAAAGCUAAAAGUGAAAGAGAGGGAUUGGAUGACAUUAAAA